AGUGGUGUGCUGGAAUGGUAGACAGAACUCCCUCAAGAGGAGUUGGGUAACGUCCCGUACGGGUUCGAGUCCCGUCCUCACUA
rnacentral:tRNA from 1 species